GAUCAUACAGAACACCGAUUGCGAAGGCAGUUUACCAAACUAUAUCUGACGUUGAGGCACGAAAGCCGUGGGGAGCAAACAGGAUUAGAUACCCUGGUAGUCCACGCAGUAAACGAUGAUAACUCGUUGUCGGCGAUACACAGUCGGUGACUAAGCGAAAGCGAUAAGUUAUCCACCUGGGGAGUACGUUCGCAAGAAUGAAACUCAAAGGAAUUGACGGGGGCCCGCACAAGCGGAGGAACAUGUGGUUUAAUUCGAUGAUACGCGAGGAACCUUACCCGGGCUUGAAAGUUAGCGACGAUUCUUGAAAGAGGAUUUCCCUUCGGGGCGCGAAACUAGGUGCUGCAUGGUUGUCGUCAGCUCGUGCCGUGAGGUGUCGGGUUAAGUCCCAUAACGAGCGCAACCCCUACCGUUAGUUGCCAUCAGGUCAAGCUGGGCACUCUGGCGGGACUGCCGGUGUAAGCCGAGAGGAAGGUGGGGAUGACGUCAAAUCAGCACGGCCCUUACGUCCGGGGCUACACACGUGUUACAAUGGUAGGUACAGAGGGCAGCUACCCAGCGAUGGGAUGCGAAUCUCGAAAGCCUAUCUCAGUUCGGAUUGGAGGCUGAAACCCGCCUCCAUGAAGUUGGAUUCGCUAGUAAUCGCGCAUCAGCCAUGGCGCGGUGAAUACGUUCCCGGGCCUUGUACACACCGCCCGUCAAGCCAUGGGAGCCGGGGGUGCCUGAAGUUCGUGACCGCAAGGAGCGACCUAGGGCAA
rnacentral:rRNA from 1 species